UAAAACAGGAAAGAAGCAAUCAAGGGUUGAACUAAAGUGCUUUGGUUUCGCCAUCAAGCUGUUGAAUUUUAGUUCAGACUAAUCAUGUCGUGCUCUUCCUUUGCUGUUCUACUCAACAUGGUGUUGUGUUGUGUUUCUGUACCGUUCUGCUGCUGCUGGAGUGUCUGGUGCUGGAUGGGAGGAGGAGCUGGAGCACUAGGAGCUUGUUCGAUCUGCUGGCUGGGCCGUGCUCUCGUCGUACCUAUGACUAGCAAGACAAACUUCUGUGCAACACAGGACUUCAACACAGUAAACCAUGUACUCAUUUACACCAAGCAUUAUUCUCCUGAUCUAAAUCAUUUCUCCUGACUGCUAGCGUGUCACCCAGAAGAGGUUUGUUCCUACUGAGUCUGGUUCCUCUCAUGAUGUCAUCAUUUUUUCCUUGCAGCUGUCACCUCUGGCUUGCUCAUUAUGGAUCUACACACUUGAUGGCAGCAAAGGUCCAUAUUGAAGAAAGAGAGAGAGAGAGAAAGAGAG